CAUGUAGCUCAGUGGUUAAAGUACUCGCCUCAGAAGCGAGACAACCUGGGUUCAAUUCCCGGCAGGACGA